GAUGAACGCUAGCGGCAGGCCUAAUACAUGCAAGCCGAACGGUAAUUCUGAUAGCAAUAUUGGAACUAGAGUGGCGUAAGGGUGCGUAACACGUAUGCAAUCUACCCGCAACAGGAGGAUAGCUCCCCGAAAGGGGAAGUUAACCCUCCAUGAAAUACACACGAGGGCAUCCGAGAGUGAUUAAAUUUAGUAGGAGGUUGUGGAUGAGCAUGCGACUGAUUAGCUAGUUGGCAGUGUAACGGACUACCAAGGCGAUGAUCAGUAGGGGAAC
rnacentral:rRNA from 1 species